GGCUGGUGGAGCCCCCUGGCCGGCUUCCAGGCAGACUGUGUUCUGAGCUGGGCUUCUCGUGGCCCGGAUGCCAGCAUUUGGCUGUCGCUUCUCUGAAGCUGUUUAAUUUCUCCGGAGAAGAGCCUUGCACCCCUGCCUGGCUUUGGGAGCGAGAAUAGAGUAGGAGAAGCCGGACCCUCUGCUGAGGCCUGCAGUUCAGUCGUUCUCGGCUUCUGCCCGUUCCCUGGACGCCUGGACCCAGGGUGAAGGUGGGCCCUGCUGGGGAGCUGGAGGACAGCGGGGCACCCACAGGUUCCCUCUUUGUAUCCCCCGCUGUUCCCCAGGCCUGUGGGCUCACGGUGUCCUCUGUCCACACCCCUCUGAGCCCGGAAACUUCCUGACCUCUCUUGUUUCCCUGCUUUGUCUUUCCCUCUCCCCAUCCUUGUGGUUUUAUAUCACUUAUCAUGUUCAUUGUUUCUUUUUUUUAAUCUAUUUUUCUUCCUUUCCUCCCAUUUUAGUUUUGGGGGAAAGCCAUAAUAACCAUAGGUAGACAGUCACCAUCAUAUCUCUUUUUAAGGAAAUGUUCCUCAAAAUUGGUUCAAAUCAUAAAAAUAAUUCGUGUACAUUUAGACAUCACAGAAGUAGAAAGAACCAAAAAUAUAGUAAUCUAUUGGAGGCUGAUCAGACCCUCAAUCACUUACUCAAGUGUAUGAUGGUGAGAUUAAAAAAGAGAAGAUCUUACUGCAUAAAGGAGGGGCCCAGGGCGGUCAUGGCUCUCAUCAGGCUAAGACACUGUCUCCGGGGCUCGCCAGUAUUUACUGAACACGCAGCUCCUAGAAGGGGUAAGGGCAGAGCAGCGAACAGUGGAGUGGAGGGGGCUGAUUUGAGCAGGGUCCUAGCAACAAGGGAACGAGACAUUCUAGCAAGAGCAGCUCAUAGAUAAAUGGGAGAUUUGUUUCUUCGAGCGGAUUAAUUUUGCCUCUCUAGGAGUUUUCUGUACGAGUUGUGCUGCCCUUAGCGGCACUACUGUCUUGCUAUGCAAGACGUCACAGCAUCACGGAUCAUUGAGACUUCCGCUCUGACCAGUGGUGUGGGGAGUUGUUCCGUUCCCGCACACCAGCUGCCGGCUUUUCAGGCAAGCAUGGUGGGCUAAGAGGCAGACUCAGACUUUUACUAUGAAAGCCAAUUUAUAUGAAUGUGCAGCUCCCUCAGGGUGGUUUCCAUCAGUCAUCCCACUCAUAAGGCACAUUUCCUUCUUACUGUUCUUCAAAGAAUUGUACACAUUUGACAUCAGUCUGUAAAGAUAAUUUUUAUGUUUUGCUCUUUCACUUAUAGUAUUGCAAUGAAAGUUUCCUAUGUUAUGAAACUUCUGGAGAUGUUUUGACAAUAAUUGAUCCUGUGUUGCACAAAAGUUUACUUAGUUAUCUCCUGCGGUUUAGCCUCUAGGCUGUUUUCUAUUAGUUCAUGCUCACGACCUUUGCACAGAAAGCUUGUUUUAUUUUAAAAUUUUUAAAUUUGAGAAGUUUUGUCAUAGAGCAAUAUAGUGGAAGAAAUGCCAGCUUCCAGAUAGACAUUCUUGUCGUAAUCCCCAGAACCCAGGAAGGUGACCUUAUUUGGGAAAAGGGUUGUUGCAGGUGUCACAAAAUGAAGAAUCUUGAAAGGCGAUUUUCCUGGAUUGACUGAGCGGCCUACAGCACGAUGACCAUGUUCUUGGGAGAGAGGAGGGGUCACAGGCUGAGGAAGUGGCUGCCUCCACAGCUGGAAGAGCCCAGGAACAGAAUUUUCUGUCAGCACUGUGGUUGUGGAUUUCUGGCCUCCAGUUCUGCUGUUUGAUGCCAUCGAGUUUGUGGUACUUUGUUACGGUUGCCCCAGAAAACAGACGGGUAAAUUCUUAGAAAUGGUGGCGUUGGUCACAGAUAUGAAUGUUUGCAUGGAAGUUAAGUUAGAAAAAGCGUGCACACCCUUCCUACCUGGCUUACACCCUCCUUUUAUCUGAUGCAUUUCUUUCCUGUCAUUGCUUCAGCAUUUACUGAGUGGCGGGUACAUCACAGCACGGGAAACCUUCAAGGGGUUGAGGGUGCCUUUUUCUGUUCAAUGCUGGGGGUUGAACCCAGGGGCUUUGCAGUGAGCUGCAUCUCCAGGCUCUUUUUAAUGUUUUAUUUGGAGACAGGGUCUCGCUAACCCACUAAAUUACCCAGGCUGGGCUUGAGCUUUCAGUCUUCCUGCCUCAGCCUCCCAGAGUGCUGAGGGUAGAGGUGUGCCCCACCAUGCCCGGCUGGGGGCUCUGUUAUGUUCCCCGGUGGUCCCUGGUGCUUAGAGUCCUGCCUGACCCGGGACAGACACUCCGUGUUAAUUUACCGACUGGCUGGUGAUGGGGUACAUGUCACAGUAACUCGUGGCCCCUCCUGGCCAGUGAGGGGUUAGGGAGGACCUGCAGGAAGCUCUAAUGUUGGGUGCGUCUGCUGGGGUACCAGGGAGGCCAGAGGCAGGGGCUCUCGGACCGGAGUCACUGAGAGGUACUGCCUGUGCUGAGUCUUGGAGGACAGUGGCCCCGGGGGCACGGUACCAGGCAGAACCUUCACCCCUUGGUCGGUCACCUUUGCUGCCACCUGCCGGGAACCUUUGGCGACCUGUUUCUCAGGGUGCCCUGUCGGUGGGCCCCAGACUCUGGACAUGCACUGCCACCCUAGAUGGCCCAGUGUGACCAUCCUGGCCCUAACCGGUCUUUUCUUCUGCUCCACAAACCAGCAGCGGGGCUCCCGUGAGAGGGAGCUCGAGUGGCAGUGCCCUUGCCUGCAGUCGGGUUAACAGGCUUCGCGGAGAGCCGGACCCUGCUGCACCGAUAAACCUGCCUCUGGGCCCGGGGCAGGCGCAGGGGGUGAAGCCACGUCCCGGCAAAGAGCCCUGACGGUGACCGACCGCUGUCCACACCGGGCUGCGCCCCAGGCCGCCUCUGCGCCACCUCCCAAGCCGCCUGGGUUUGCGUCCGCCGUUUAAUGAGGCCUCCUUCCGAGACUCCAGAAAAGUGUUUUCGGGCGCGAGGCACAGAGUUGGUCAAGGCAGACAGUGCUGGCAGCAGGCCUUGGGCUGGGCAAGCGGAGAAGUAAGGACUCACUGGACUGAUUCAUUGACUCCACUGAGCGGCCCGAUUGGACUUGUGUGUUCUGAAGCAUAACGAGAAGCAUCACUGCUUCACAUUUUUCCCAAAGGGAGGACUUUUAAAAAUUUGAUAGGUUAAAUUAAAAGAAUUUUUUUUUGAGUCAAGGUCUCCCUGUGUAGUUCAGACUGGUCUAGAACUCACAGAGAUCUUCCUGCCUCAGCCUCCCAAAGUGCUGGAAUUACAGGCACCACACCCAGGUAAAUAUAAAAUCUUUUAUGGAUGUAGAUGACGUCAGUUAUAUUAAAUAUACCCUACAUCAACUAUUUUAAGCAUACAUUUGAAAUUUUACCAGUGGUAGCAUUGAGAAACAGAAUAUGGGUAAUUUAUCCAGAGAUACACAGUUGAAAAGUGAAAGAAAUAGAAUAUAAGCCCUGGCAUUGACUUUAGGGCCCACUGUCCUAACCACUGUGUUAUUAGUAUAGUUACACAUACUAUAUUGUAAGAUAAUAUGUAAUAUAUUACUAAUAUUUAUUAUAUUAUUAAUAUUAAUAUAGAUUAGUAACAUUAUAAAAUGAAUUAAAUUUAUUAAAAAUUUAAUUUAGGAAUAUUGCUUUUUUUCUUAGCAUUCAUGAAACAACUGUUGAAAUGCUCUGUCUACAUUUGUAACAUGAGAGACUUUUCCAAGACUACAGCAUUUUUUUCAGCUCCAUAAUAAGUUUUUAAAAAAUGUUUUGAUUCAUGUAUGUUUGUGAUACAUAGUAACUACAUUCCCCUUGCUGAAUUGAUAUGUAUAUAAAUAUAUUGCAUUGCAUCUUGGUCUUUUUCCUCCUGCUCCUCCUUCCCCCCCCCCAUCUCCACAGAGUCUACUUCCUUGUUUCUUAUUGUUUCUUUUAUUUUGCUCUUUAUGUUAUUUAUAUUUUUGGUUUCUCUUAUUAGAAAGCCAUGUUAUAUUUAAGCUUCUGUAUCUGUUUUAUUUCAUUCAGUAUUUCAGUCUCAAGACUCAUUUAUUUCCCUACAUGUAACUGGAAUGUACCUUCUUUAUGGCUGAGUAGUACUCCACCGGUUGCUGCAGACAUCACUGCACAUAGGAGUCAUCCGGGAUCAUGCAGAUUCUGGGUGUGCAUUUCUAACAAGCUCCCCACUGUUGCAUCUCCUCUGCCUGCAGGGUGAAGCAUGAGAAUCUGGUCAGGUGCACACUUUGCAGACUUCUAUCUGAGCCGCCAGAGGUUGGUUUUGGGGCUGUUUUACCCGUUCCAGGGUAUUUUGUCUUUAGCACAUUAGGACGCUUGAGUUUUUCUUUAUCCUGUGGGUUAUUUCUUUAUAACCAUGGUCUCCAGGGGGCCGGCACUCACCAGUUUGCUUUGAAGUCACCUCUGAGAGGCUCCUUGGACUCCUCAACGCCCAGCGGGACUAUGGAUGGCGCCAGGCUUAACUGCUUUGGGCCCAGCUAAGCGCCUCAAGUGGCGUCAGCCAACGUGGCUUCCGGAGAAGAACAGUUGCUUCAACUGCAGCCUCUGCAAGAGAGCGCCGCACCACGGAGCACCAGCAGAUGGCGCUGUGUCCCUGGGAACGAGGCGCCCGUGGCGGUGGCUGGGCGUGGCUGCUGGGGUAGGCGGGUGCCGCUGAGACUCGCGGGCUUCCUGCUGGAACCAUCCUGUGAAGAGCAGAUCGGGCAGGUUUAUGCGUUGUGGCAGAAACCCAGGCUGCUGAGGCCCGCUGUGUCCUGCGCAGAAACGGAAGCUGUGCGGUCACUCUGUCACUCUUUGCCCUUGCUGUUCUGCAAACCCCGGGGGGAGGCCUGGUGGCCCAUGGUGGGUGCCAAGAAACACCUGAUGCAUUGAGCCGAACCCAGCACAUCCUGGCCUCUGAACAGGAAAUGCAGAUUUUAGUUUUAAUUCUAGCUCUGGGGACAACAGAACUGCCAUGUAACACCUCCGAGGCUCAAUGUCACCAUCUGUCACUCGGGGAUAAUAAAAUCUAUUCCCUGGGCUGUGGGAAGAAUUAACGAACUUGUACACAAGGCGCUCAUGGCCAGGGGUCUUUCCUGGUGGCAGUGCUGGUGGAAAAUGAAGGGCUCGUUUGGAAGGAAGAUUGGAGAUGUUGGGAUGAGGGAGAGACUGGAGUCCUGGGUGUCCCCAAGGCCAGUCCUGGGAGGUUCCUGCUCCCGAUGACACGGGCCACCGAGAGCAUAAACGUGUACAGGAGAGAGAAAGUGAGCGGAGUAACCUGGCACCGAGAGCUUGACCCAAACCCCGCGAAGUGUGCAGACUGUGAGAGCCAGGUGUGGCCAGGAAGAGGUCCCUCUCCAGCUAUGUGACCCUGCACCACACCCACAUGUCUCUCAGGCUGCUGGGGUGGAGGUUUUCAUCAGCACAGAUGGGAUUUCGGUCUUUGGUUAAUCCUGCUGGGUG
rnacentral:lncRNA from 1 species